rnacentral:rRNA from 1 species
UACGAAGGGUGCAAGCGUUACUCGGAAUUAUUGGGCGUAAAGGGUGCGUAGGCGGUUUGAUAAGUCAUCUGUGAAAUCUCUGGGCUCAACCCAGAGUCUGCAGGCGAAACUGUCGGGCUUGAGUAUGGGAGAGGUGAGUGGAAUUUCCGGUGUAGCGGUGAAGUGCGUAGAUAUCGGAAGGAACACCUGUGGCGAAAGCGGCUCACUGGACCAUUACUGACGCUGAUGCACGAAAGCGAGGGGAGCAAACAGG